rnacentral:tRNA from 1 species
GGGGGUAUAGCUCAGUGAUAGCGCAUUCGACUGCAGAUCGGGUGGUCCCCGGUUCAAACUCGGGUUUCCCCU